UACGUAGGGUGCAAGCGUUAAUCGGAAUUACUGGGCGUAAAGCGUGCGCAGGCGGUUUUGUAAGACGGAUGUGAAAUCCCCGGGCUUAACCUGGGAACUGCAUUCGUGACUGCAAGGCUAGAGUAUGGCAGAGGGGGGUAGAAUUCCACGUGUAGCAGUGAAAUGCGUAGAGAUGUGGAGGAACACCGAUGGCGAAGGCAGCCCCCUGGGCCGAUACUGACGCUCAGGCACGAAAGCGUGGGGAGCAAACAGG
rnacentral:rRNA from 1 species